CCCCCUGCUAAAAAUAAAGAACAAUUUUAUGAAUAUCAAAAGAAGAAAAGCAACGGAAAAACAAGAGAGAAUGAAACUCCAGCAUGAUCACGCGAGGCUUGAGUUGCAGAGCCAUGAGAGAAAAUCGAAUGGAGCGAAGUCGUUAAGUGUUAACCGUGAAAUUCAAUCCUAGGGUUUUCGUUUAGGCCCUAUCUCAUCUUCGAUUCUCUGGAAUGAAUCAUCUUGUUCGGUGUAUUGUGGUGAGAUCUGACUUUGAUCCUUUUCUACCAUCAAAGCUGUUAAAUAUCAUACAAUAGUUUCGAAAACAAACAGGGUCCACAAUAUUGCUGCCACGACCACCAAAAGGAUUACAACCCCGCCAACUGAUGCUACUAUGGGUGUGACAGUGUUCUUCUUCUUCUUUUUCUUCUCGU